rnacentral:lncRNA from 1 species
GAAAGGACAGUACAGAAAUAAAAUAAUUGGAAUUGUGCUUAUAAAAAGUUACCUGAGAAAUAGAAACAGAUCUAAAUGAGGAUAUAAAUCAAAUACACAGAUCUUAAUAACUCUUAUAGUCAAUGAAAGUAGAGUCCCAAAAGAGAGACUGAAAAGUUGAACAAUACAUUGGCUGGCAAAAGAAGAAGUAAAAAGUGAAAAUAGCUAGAUAGGGACUUAGAUGUUAUUUUAAAGUUAAUGCACUGUGAAAAGAAGCAUGGAAAUGCACAGAUCUAGUGUCUCUGUGAUAACUAAAGCUCAGAAAAGUUGGUAAGAAAAUUUGAUGCCUCUUCUUCACAUUCUGUACUCAGAGGCGGCAAUUUGGCAAGAAAUCUUUACAGUGGUUUUGACACAGAAGAUUUAAAAAAUCUGAACUAGAAAGCACCAUUAGCCAAAAAAAAAAAAAGGAAAAAAUAUAAUCGUGUGGCACUUUUAAGAGGGUGACCGAGAUAAUGACAGUUGGGAGGCAUAGUAAGCCCUUUGUAAAUGCUGCUGGGGUCAUGGGCAAUAGUUUUUUUGGGGAAAACAUUGUGUUUCUCUUUAUAUAAAUGCUUUUUUAUAAUUCAAGGGGACAUGGUUUGAUUAACUACCCUCUCCACACCAUCUGUAGGUUUUCCUGAUCUUUGCUUCUUCCAUUUCCUAAGAAGGAA